GAUGAACGCUAGCGGCAGGCUUAAUACAUGCAAGUCGAGGGGCAUCACAGGUAGCAAUACUGGGUGGCGACCGGCAAACGGGUGCGGAACACGUACACAACUUACCUUAAGGUGGGGGAUAGCCCAGGGAAACUUGGAUUAAUACCCCAUAAAACAGGGGGCCCGCAUGGGUCAAUUGUUAAAGAUUUAUUGCCUUAAGAUGGGUGUGCGUCUGAUUAGGUAGUUGGUAGGGUAACGGCCUACCAAGCCGACGAUCAGUAACUGGUGUGAGAGCACGACCAGUCACACGGGCACUGGGACACGGGCCCGACUCCUACGGGAGGCAGCAGUAAGGAAUAUUGGUCAAUGGGCGGAAGCCUGAACCAGCCAUGCCGCGUGGAGGAUGAAGGUCCUCUGGAUUGUAAACUUCUUUUAUCAGGGGCGAAAAAGGGCCAUUCUUGGUCAACUGACGGUACCUGAUGAAUAAGCACCGGCUAACUCCGUGCCAGCAGCCGCCGUAAUAC
rnacentral:rRNA from 1 species